AACGAACGCUGGCGGCAGGCUUAACACAUGCAAGUCGAACGGUUGUAGCAAUACAGCAGUGGCGCACGGGUGAGUAACGCGUGGAUAUCUGCCUUUUGGUUCGGAAUAACUCCGGGAAACUGGAGCUAAUACCGGAUGGUUCCUACGGGAUAAAGAUUUAUCGCCAAAAGAUGAGUCCGCGUACGAUUAGCUAGUUGGCGGGGUAAUGGCCCACCAAGGCGACGAUCGUUAGCUGGUCUGAGAGGACGAUCAGCCACACUGGGACUGAGACACGGCCCAGACUCCUACGGGGGGCAGCAGUGGGGAAUAUUGGACAAUGGGGGCAACCUUGAUCCAGCCAUGCCGCGUGAGUGAUGAAGGCCUUCGGGUUGUAAAGCUCUUUUGGCGGGGACGAUGAUGACGGUACCCGCAGAAUAAGCCCCGGCUAACUUCGUGCCAGCCGCCGCCGUAACAC
rnacentral:rRNA from 1 species